UACGAAGGGGGGCGAGCGUUGUUCGGAAUUACUGGGCGUAAAGGGCGCGCAGGCGGCUCUGAAAGUCAGAUGUGAAAGCCCCCGGGCUUAACCUGGGAAUUGCAUUUGAUACUCUGGAGCUUGAGUUCGGGAGAGGUGAGUGGAACUGCGAGUGUAGAGGUGAAAUUCGUAGAUAUUCGCAAGAACACCAGUGGCGAAGGCGGCUCACUGGCCCGAUACUGACGCUGAGGCACGAAAGCGUGGGGAGCAAACAGG
rnacentral:rRNA from 1 species